CCAUAUUGGUUUAGGCUUGAGGUGUAUCAAUUAUAAUAAUUUUUCAGUUUCAAUUAACUUAAUUAUAGACUAUUGGAUUAUUGACCAACAAAAUAUAUCAUUUUAAAUCUUGUAUUACCACCAAUAAUUAUAUAAUUAAUCUGUGAAUCUAUUUAUUUUUAUUUCAGAGAUUAUAGAUCAUAUCUUUCUGAGGUUGGAGCCGUCAC
rnacentral:lncRNA from 1 species